rnacentral:pre_miRNA from 1 species
AUUAUACUCCCUCCGUCCGGAAAUACUCGUCGAAGAAAUGGAUGUAUCUAGACAUAUUUUAAUUCUAGAUACAUUCAUUUUUAUCCAUUUCUCCGACAAGUAUUUCUGGACGGAGGGAGUACAUU